rnacentral:rRNA from 1 species
CUACGGGACGCUGCAGGCGAGAAAACUUUGCAAUGUGCGAAAGCACGACAAGGUUAAUCCGAGUGGUUUCUGCUAAAGGAACCUUUUGUCGGUCCUAGAAACACCGAUGAAUAAGGGGUGGGCAAGUUCUGGUGUCAGGCGCCGCGGUAAAACCAGCACCUCAAGUUGUCAGGAUGAUUAUUGGGCCUAAAGCAUCCGUAGCCGGCUCUGUUAGUUUUCGGUUAAAUCUGUAUGCUCAACAUACAGGCUGCCGGGAAUACUGCAGAGCUAGGGAGUGGGAGAGGUAGACGGUACUCGGUAGGAAGGGGUAAAAUCCUUUGAUCUAUUGAUGACCACCUGUGGCGAAGGCGGUCUACCAGAACACGUCCGACGGUGAGGGAUGAAAGCUGGGGGAGCAAACCGGAUUAGAUACCCUAGUAGUC